rnacentral:rRNA from 1 species
GACGAACGCUGGCGGCGUGCUUAACACAUGCAAGUCGAGCGGUAAGGCCCUUCGGGGUACACGAGCGGCGAACGGGUGAGUAACACGUGGGUGACCUGCCUCUAGCUCUGGGAUAAGCCUGGGAAGCUGGGUCUAAUACCGGAUAUGACCUCGCGGUGCAUGUUGCGGGGUGGAGAGCCUUGCGCGGCUAGGGAUGGGCCCGCGGCCUAUCAGCUUGUUGGUGGGGUGAUGGCCUACCAAGGCGACGACGGGUAGCCGGCCUGAGAGGGCGACCGGCCACACUGGGACUGAGACACGG